CGCGGGGUAGUGUAAUGGUAGCACAACGGUCUCCUUAGCCGUAAAUGGAGUUUCGAUUACUCCCUCCGCAA
rnacentral:tRNA from 1 species